rnacentral:rRNA from 1 species
CCCUUAGAUGUUCUGGGCCGCACGCGCGCUACACUGACGAUGUCAGAGAGUGUCUCCUUCACCGAGAGGUGUGGGUAAUCUUUUAAACAUCGUCGUGCUGGGGAUAGAUCAUUGCAAUUUUUGAUCUUAAACGAGGAAUUCCUAGUAAGCGCGAGUCAUCAGCUCGCGCUGAUUACGUCCCUGCCCUUUGUACACACCGCCCGUCGCUACUACCGAUUGAAUGGUUUAGUGAGGCCUUCUGACUGGCGCCGCUACUCUGGCAACAGGGCGGCGGAUGCCGGGAAGUUGGUCAAACUUGAUCAUUUAGAGGAAGUAAAAGUCGUAACA